UUGUCUGCUCACGCCAAGGUUAAUUUGGCACCUCAGUCACAAAGAGCAUAUGCUUCCUGUGACAGACUUCCAGGGAGGCAGCUUCCCACAUGUGCUCCCCUGGUCUCCUCAUUGGUGUUCAGAAAGGAGAGGGUGGGUCCUCCAAAGGAGCCUGUGUGCCUAUGACAGAUGAGAUUUUUUUUUUUAAUGUGAGAAAACAAAACCUGAACAUUUGAUGCCCUGUUUUAAAAGGCGAAGACCUCUUUGGACCUGAAAUUUACAAGCAUCUAAUUCAUUAACUGUGAAUGUAGGGGGUGCUUAAAUGAAUUCUUGUUGACUGAUUGAUUGAAUACAGUCAUGACAUAAAUUCCACAAUCCCAAGGCAUACCCCUGGAAUGAGGACAUCACAUGGCUGCCAGACAUGACUGGGCAGCAAAAUUUCAGAGGAUUGCUAUGAUGAUCAUAACUGGAAUGAACCUCAAAGGCCAUCUAAUGCAACUACCUCAUUUGAUAGCUGAGGAAACUGAGACACAAGAGGUUGAGUUACUUCCCCAGGAUGGUGAGUAGCAGAGGCAGGAUCUGAACCCAGGGCUUCUGUCUGCAAAUCCAAUGCUUUUCCCACUAAGUACAUUGCUUUUCAAGAAAAUAAAAUAAUUUGUAUAAAGGGCUUUGCA
rnacentral:lncRNA from 1 species